CUGUAAGUGUAAGUAUGCCCCAUGCAGUAUUUGGGAGAUACUUAUACUAAAA
rnacentral:pre_miRNA from 1 species